UACGAAGGGUGCAAGCGUUGCUCGGAAUUAUUGGGCGUAAAGGGUAGGUAGGUGGUUACGUAUGUCUGAGGUGAAAGCCCCGAGCUUAACUUGGGAAGUGCCUUGAAAACGGCGUAACUAGAGUACUGGAGAGGUUUGUGGAAUUCCCGGUGUAGUGGUGGAAUGCGUAGAUAUCGGGAGGAACAUCAGUGGCGCAAGCGGCGCCCUGGCCUUAGCCUGACGCUCAGGGGCGAAAGCGUGGGGAGCGAACGGG
rnacentral:rRNA from 1 species